rnacentral:rRNA from 1 species
GACGAACGCUGGCGGCGUGCCUAAUACAUGCAAGUUGAGCGCUGAAGGUUGGUACUUGUACCAACUGGAUGAGCAGCGAACGGGUGAGUAACGCGUGGGGAAUCUGCCUUUGAGCGGGGGACAACAUUUGGAAACGAAUGCUAAUACCGCAUAAAAACUUUAAACACAAGUUUUAAGUUUGAAAGAUGCAAUUGCAUCACUCAAAGAUGAUCCCGCGUUGUAUUAGCUAGUUGGUGAGGUAAAGGCUCACCAAGGCGAUGAUACAUAGCCGACCUGAGAGGGUGAUCGGCCACAUUGGGACUGAGACACGGCCCAAACUCCUACGGGAGGCAGCAGUAGGGAAGCUUCGGCAAUGGACGAAAGUCUGACCGAGCAACGCCGCGGGAGUGAAGAAGGUUUUCGGAUCGUAAAACUCUGUUGGUAGAGAAGAACGUUGGUGAGAGUGGAAAGCUCAUCAAGUGACGGUAACUACCCAGAAAGGGACGGCUAACUACGUG